AUGCCUCUCCCUGCGAACCUUGUAAUGGGGUCCGCCUUCGUCGCGCUCGGCGUCGCGCUCCUCGCCGGCUUCCUCUACGUCGCCGUCUGGUCCAAGGCCCUCGCGCCGAGCGACAACUGGUUCUUGCUCGCCGUUCAAAACGACAGGUAUUACUGCUUGCUUGUGCCCCUGACGGUCCCCGUCAUAAUCGUGGCUGUGUACCUGCAUUGGCUGAGCAUGAAGAUGUUUAAGCAUGCGUGA
rnacentral:rRNA from 1 species